rnacentral:lncRNA from 1 species
UAGAAUAUCCAACAAUAGGACAAUUUAUCCAUUAGACAAAUUAUGACUUCAAAUCACAAAGUUAACAAUGAACACAACCAAAUUACACACCCUUAACAUUGGCAAGAACAACAGGCGACCAAUUAGAGAAUCUCAUCCAAGAGAGCAAGGGAGACAUUUUGAAUGUAGAAUUCAAAAUAAUUUAUUAGUUCGGAUCCCUAUCAUAUGCAAUUGUGUCCAAGAAAAGAUCAACAUUGGGAAAAAUAACCAGCUUUGCAUUCAUAGGGGCCCUCCCACCAGCCAAGCGCAUGACUACCAAGCAGCAGUUUUAUUACCUGAUGCAGCAUUAGCUGCAGCAGCAAGUCUCCAAUGUACUGCAGCAGAUGCAGCAUCUUGUGGGGGGCCUUGGGCUCUCAAUUUGAAUCUGUGUUGCAAUUCUCUCAACUUGAACCUGCACACACAUUAACCAAGAUUCAUGUAACUAGCAAUUAUAAAUUAAUAUUUAAUAUUCUUCUUAAUUUGAAAUUUUUUUUUUUUUUCUUGAAAAGGAGGGAUAGAGCCCUUUAAUUUAUUAUACGAUCAUGAAAAAUAUUCAUAUAGUCAGCAUCCAAGAGGAGCUUAAUACUAGAUGAAGGCAAAUUAAUAAGACUCAUACCAAAAAUUCCACCCAUACUAGCUUCGAAUUUGAAAGGUUUCGUCCGCAAUUCGACCUUAAAUUUUCACAUACUUCUUCCUUACGUUUGUGCGUAUUUAUCACCAAUGAAAAUUCAGUAGCUUUCUCAAGAGGCCAUGACAAGAUGGAUUAUUUGUUUGAACUCCAUGUAAUAAAAAAUAAAAAUUCAAUAAUAGCCUUACAAUUUCGGCCUCGUGGUGGUUGGAAAUGGAUGAUGAUUUCGAGAAGCUAGGGUUUUAUGGCUUGGUAUCUAAGACAAUGUGUGGUAAAGCUAAUGUUAGGCCUUAUGCUUUCUGCUUCUCCUUCUUUGCCCUGGGGAGAAAGGGCGGAGAAAUUGGUGAUUUGAAAUUUUAU